rnacentral:rRNA from 1 species
GGGUGCGAUCAUACCAGCGUUAAUGCACCGGAUCCCAUCAAAACUCCGUAGUUAAGCGCUCUUGGGCCAGAGUAGUACUGGGAUGGGUGACCUCCCGAGAAGUCUUGGUGUUGCACCCU